rnacentral:rRNA from 1 species
AACGAACGCUGGCGGCAGGCUUAACACAUGCAAGUCGAACGCCCCGCAAGGGAGUGGCAGACGGGUGAGUAACACGUGGGAACGUGCCCUAAGGUUUGGAAUAUUCCCGGGAAACUGGGAGCAAUACCAAAUGUGUCCGCAAGGAGAAAGAUUUAUCGCCUUAGGAUCGGCCCGCGUUGGAUUAGCUAGUUGGUGGGGUAAAAGCCUACCAAGGCGACGAUCCAUAGCUGGUCUGAGAGGACGACCAGCCACACUGGGACUGAGACACGGCCCAGACUCCUACGGGAGGCAGCAGUGGGGAAUCUUGGACAAUGGGCGCAAGCCUGAUCCAGCCAUGCCGCGUGAGUGAUGAAGGCCUUAGGGUUGUAAAACUCUUUCGCCGAGGACGAUAAUGACGGUACUCGGAGAAGAAGCUCCGGCU